rnacentral:rRNA from 1 species
AAUACAUUACAACUUUCAGCGGUGGAUGUCUAGGUUCCCACAACGAUGAAGAACGCAGCGAAAUGCGAUACGUAAUGCGAAUUGCAAGACCUCGUGAAUCAUCAAAAUUUUGAACGCACAUUGCGCUCUCGGGAUUUUCCCGUGAGCAUGCUUGUCUGAGUGUCUGUGGACC